rnacentral:rRNA from 1 species
AUGAUGUCUCUUACUGAUUUACCGCUAUCAUUUUGGGGUUAUGCUUUAGAGACAGCUGCAUUCACGUUAAAUAGGGCACCAGCGAAAUCCGUUAAGACGACACCAUAUGAACUGUGGUUUGGCAAGAAAACCAAGUUGUCGUUUCUUAAAGUUUGGGGCUGCGAUGCUUAUGUAAAAAAGCUUCAACCUGAUAAUCUCGAACCCAAAUCGGAGAAAUGUGUCUUCAUAGGAUACCCAAAGGAGACUGUUGGGUAUACCUUCUAUCAUAGAUCCGAAGGCAAGAUAUUCGUUGCCAAGAAUGGAUCCUUUCUAGAGAAGGAGUUUCUCUCGAAAGAAGUGAGUGGGAGGAAAGUAGAACUUGAUGAGGUAAUUAUACCUGCUCCCUUAUUGGAAAGUAGUUCAUCACAGAAAUUAGUUCCAGUGAUUCCUACACCAAUUAGUGAGGAAGCUAAUGAUGAUGAUCAUGAAACUUCUGAUCAAGUUACUACCGAACCUCGUAGGUCAACCAGAGUAAGAUCCGCACCAGAGUGGUACGGUAAUCAUGUUCUGGAGGUCAUGUUACUUGACCAUGACGAACCUACGAACUAUCAGAAAGCGAUGAUGAGCCCAAAUUCCGCGAAAUGGCUUGAGGCCAUGAAAUCUGAGAUGGGAUCCAUGUAUGAGAACAAAGUGUGGACUUUGGUUAACUUGCCCGAUGAUCGGCAAGCCAUAGAGAAUAAAUGGAUCUUCAAGAAGAAGACUGACGCUGACGGUAAUGUUAUUGUCUACAAAGCUCGACUUGUUGCAAAAGGUUUUCGACAAGUUCAAGGAGUUGACUACGAUGAGACCUUCUCACCCGUAGCGAUGCUUAAGUCUGUCCGAAUCAUGUUAGCAAUUGUCGCAUUUUAUGAUUAUGAAAUUUGGCAAAUGGAUGUCAAAACUGCAUUCCUUAAUGGAUAUCUUAAAGAAGAGUUGUAUAUGAUACAACCAGAAGGUUUUGUCGAUCCAAAAGGUGCUAACAAAGUGUGCAUGCUCCAGCGAUCCAUUUAUGGACUGGUGCAAGCAUCUCAGAGUUGGAAUAUACGCUUUGAUAGCGUGAUCAAAGCAUAUGGUUUUAUACAGACUUUUGGAGAAGCCUGUAUUUACAAGAAAGUGAGUGCGAGCUCUGUAGCAUUUCUGAUAUUAUAUGUAGAUGACAUAUUGUUGAUUGGAAAUGAUGCUGAAUUUCGCAAUAACAUAAAAGGAUACUUGAAUAAGAAUUUUUCAAUGAAAGACCUCGGUGAAGCUGCUUAUAUAUUGGGCAUCAAGAUCUAUAGAGAUACAUCAAGACGCUUAAUUGGACUUUCACAAAGCACAUACAUUGAUAAAGUUGUGAAGAAGUUCAAAAUGGAUCAAGCAAAGAAAGGGUUCUUGCCUGUGUUACAAGGUGUGAAGUUGAGUCAGACUCAAUGCCCGACCACUGCAGAAGAUAGAGAGAAAAUGAAAGUCAUUCCCUAUGCUUCGGCCAUAGGUUCUAUCAUGUAUGCAAUGCUGUGUACCAGACCUGAUUCAUGGAGGUACCAAAGUAAUCCAGGAAUGGAUCACUGGACAUCGGUCAAGAACAUCCUGAAAUACCUGAAAAGGACUAAGGAUAUGUUUCUCGUUUAUGGAGGUGACAAAGAGCUCGUCGUAAAUGGUUACGUCGAUGCAAGUUUUGACACUGAUCCGGAUGACUCUAAGUCACAGACCGGAUGCGUAUUUUUAUUAAAUGGAGGAGCUGUAAGUUGGUGCAGUUCCAAAUAG